GAAAUGUAAAAAAUAUAUCCCACCAAUAAGACUAACUUUUAAUCCAUCAAAAUAGAACAGUACCUUUUAAUCCAUCAGAACUUAUAAACAUAAGAUUCCAUACGCACGUAACUUCAAACAAAGCCUUCGCAAAAGUCAAACAGAUAUUGAUAAUUAAAGCACAUUUUCCUUUAUGUUCGAGUAAAUCAGUAUCUUCUUGAUCA
rnacentral:lncRNA from 1 species